UGCCUAACACAUGCAAGUCGAGCGAGAAAGUCCCUUCGGGGAUGAGUACAGCGGCGAACGGGUGAGUAACGCGUAAGAAUCUACCAUUCAGUGAAGAACACCUUCGAGAAAUCGAAGUUAAUACUGCAUACGUCCCUUCGGGGAGAAAGAUGGCCUCUUUGCUAUCGCUGAAUGAGGAGCUUGCGUACUAUUAGCUAGUUGGUAGGGUAAUGGCCUACCAAGGCAAUGAUGGUUAACCGGCCUGAGAGGGUGUUCGGUCACACUGGAGAUUAGACACGGUCCAGACUCCUACGGGAGGCAGCAGUGAGGAAUCUUGCUCAAUGGGCGAAAGCCUGAAGCAGCGACGCCGCGUGGAGGAUGAAGGCCUUAGGGUCGUAAACUCC
rnacentral:rRNA from 1 species